rnacentral:rRNA from 1 species
AGAGUUUGAUCCUGGCUCAGGAUGAACGCUAGCUACAGGCUUAACACAUGCAAGUCGAGGGGCAGCAUGUUGGUUGCUUGCAACCAACGAUGGCGACCGGCGCACGGGUGAGUAACGCGUAUCCAACCUACCCUUGUCCAUCGGAUAACCCGUCGAAAGGCGGCCUAACACGAUAUGCGGUUCACGGCAGGCAUCUAAGGUGAACGAAAUGUGAAGGAGAAGGAUGGGGAUGCGUCUGAUUAGCUUGUUGGCGGGGUAACGGCCACCAAGGCUACGAUCGAGUAGGGGUUCUGGAGAGGAACGGUCCCCCACAUUGGAACUGAGACACGGUCCAAACUCCGUACGGGAGGCA